rnacentral:rRNA from 1 species
UCCGAUCUAUCCUGGCUCAGGAUAAACGCUGGCGGCGCACAUAAGACAUGCAAGUCGAACGGACUUAAUCGAUUCUUUUAGAUUCGAAGCGGUUAGUGGCGGACUGGUGAGUAACACGUAAGCAACCUGCCUAUUAGAGGGGAAUAACAGUGAGAAAUCACUGCUAAAACCGCAUAUGCCGUGAACAUCGCAUGAUGAAAACGGGAAAAGAGCAAUCUGCUAAUAGAUGGGCUUGCGUCUGAUUAGCUAGUUGGUGUGGUAAUGGCAUACCAAGGCAACGAUCAGUAGCCGGACUGAGAGGUUGAACGGCCACAUUGGGACUGAGAUACGGCCCAGACUCCUACGGGAGGCAGCAGUCGGGAAUAUUGCGCAAUGGAGGAAACUCUGACGCAGUGACGCCGCGUAUGGGAAGAAGGUUUUCGGAUUGUAAACCAUUUUAGACAAGGAAGAAACAAGACAGUACUUGUAGAAUAAGCUCCGGCUAACUACGUGCCAGCAGCCGCGGUAAUACGUAGGGAGCAAGCGUUAUCCGGAUUUAUUGGGUGUAAAGGGUGCGUAGACGGGAAAUUAAGUUAGUUGUGAAAUCCCUCGGCUUAACUGAGGAACUGCAACUAAAACUGGUUUUCUUGAGUGCUGGAGAGGAAAGUGGAAUUCCUAGUGUAGCGGUGAAAUGCGUAGAUAUUAGGAGGAACACCAGUGGCGAAGGCGACUUUCUGGACAGUAACUGACGUUGAGGCACGAAAGUGUGGGGAGCAAACAGGAUUAGAUACCCUGGUAGUCCACACCGUAAACGAUGGAUACUAGGUGUAGGGGAUAUUAAGUCUUCUGUGCCGUCGCAAACGCAGUAAGUAUCCCACCUGGGGAGUACGGCCGCAAGGUUGAAACUCAAAGGAAUUGACGGGGGCCCGCACAAGCAGUGGAGUAUGUGGUUUAAUUCGACGCAACGCGAAGAACCUUACCAAGUCUUGACAUCCCUUGACGAACAUAGAAAUAUGUUUUCUCUUCGGAGCAAGGAGACAGGUGGUGCAUGGUUGUCGUCAGCUCGUGUCGUGAGAUGUUGGGUUAAG